ensembl:snRNA U2 U2 spliceosomal RNA
AUCGCUUCUCGGCCUUUUGGCUAAGAUCAAGUGUAGUAUCUGUUUAUCAGUUUAAUAUCUGAUACGUCCUCUUUCCGAGGACAAUUUUUUGUUUGGGCUUCCC